GUGCUUGCUUCGGCAGCACAUACAUUAAAAUUGGAACAAUACAGAGGAAAUUAGCAUUGCCCCUGCGCAAGGAUGACACGCAAAUUUGUGAAGCAUUCCAUAUUUUC